ensembl:lncRNA
GGAAGGUUGACAUAGGAGCUCAUAUGAGAAUAGAGACAGUCAUCAGCGCAUGUGAACGACACAUCCAGCAGUGGACUAAAAUUUGAAUAAGAAGAUGCUGCGUUUACUCUUUCUGUUUUUGAUUCUUCGAGGUGCAGCUGCAACAUCAGAAGACACAGAAGGAAAUUAUUCAGGAGAUUACAUCGUUGACGAUGAAGACGGUGAUGCUCCAGUGGAGACAAGGCGUAUUCAAUAUUCAGAUCCUGGAGAAAUUCCUAAAGUAGGUCCCGGAUCAGAUAGAUCCACAGGAGAUGAUGAAGCUAAUGAAGGUGGAACAUUGAUAAUCAUCAUAGCUGCCGUUAGCGUCAUAGUUCUGGCCAUUGGAGGCAUUGUAGCUAUUUUCCUCUUCAGACGCUACUUGCAAAGCCGAGAACAAGGGGUCUACUCUGUGCCAGCAGAGCAAGGACAGAAAGCUGCUGUCUAACCAUGAGGGCCUUUUCAUUUCCUCUCUCCACUGGAUCCUUUCAGGGAUGAGCUGCAAGCAUGUGAUUUCUCAUCCGAACAUGUCUCUAUCUACAGUAUAGCGGAUCCUAUAACGUCAGUAGACGAGAAUGUGUUGCUAUCAUAAAUUUUCUAUGAACUGUUUUUAAAAGCACAAUAUAUACCGUUUAUGCACACAUGCCAUAUGUUGCACUCACAGAGAAAGUCCUUGGACUGUGGAGUACAGCU